UGGGGAAUAUUGGACAAUGGGCGCAAGCCUGAUCCAGCAAUACCGCGUGUGUGAAGAAGGCCUUAGGGUUGUAAAGCACUUUCAAUAGGGACGAAAUGCCUGAGCCGAAUAAGUUUGGGUUUUGACUUAACCUAUAGAAGAAGCACCGGCUAACUCCGUGCCAGCAGCCGCGGUAAUACGGAGGGUGCAAGCGUUAAUCGGAAUUACUGGGCGUAAAGCGCUCGUAGGCGGCUUGUUAAGUCGGAUGUGAAAGCCCUGGGCUCAACCUGGGAACUGCAUUCGAUACUGUCAGGCUAGAGCAUAGAAGAGGCAAGUGGAAUUCCAGGUGUAGCGGUGAAAUGCGUAGAUAUCUGGAGGAACAUCAGUGGCGAAGGCGACUUGCUGGUCUAAUACUGACGCUGAGGAGCGAAAGCGUGGGGAGCAAACGGG
rnacentral:rRNA from 1 species